rnacentral:rRNA from 1 species
UACGUAGGGGGGCAAGCGUUGUCCGGAUUUAUUGGGCGUAAAGAGCGUGUAGGCGGCUAUACAGGUCCGCUGUGAAAAACUCGAGGCUCAACCUCGAGACGUCGGUGGAAACCGUAUGGCUAGAGUCCGGAAGAGGAGAGUGGAAUUCCUGGUGUAGCGGUGAAAUGCGCAGAUAUCAGGAGGAACACCAAUAGCGAAGGCAGCUCGCUGGGGACGUUUACUGACACUGAGGCGCGAAAAGCGUGGGGGAGCGAACAGG